UCUUAAAUCUGGUUGAUCCUGCCAGAGACCACCGUUAUUGGGAUCCGAUUAAGCCAUGCGAGUUAUGGGUUCUUCGUGAACCCGGCGAACUGCUCAGUAACACGUGGACAACCUACCCUUGGGACUGGGAUAACCCCGGGAAACUGGGGAUAAUACCAGAUAGGCCACAGAUGCUGGAAUGCAUUGUGGCUAAAAUGCUCCCGCGCCCAAGGAUGGGUCUGCGGCCGAUUAGGUUGUUGCUAGGGUAAUGCCCUGGCAAGCCGAUAAUCGGUACGGGCUCUGAGAGGAGGAACCCGGAGACGGACUCUGAGACACGAGUCCGGGCCCUACGGGGCGCAGCAGGCGCGAAACCUUUACAAUGUGCGAAAGCACGAUAAGGGGAUCCCAAGUGCCAGCGCACUGCGUUGGCUGUUCUUCAGCCUAAAAAGCUGAAGGUAGUAAGGGCCGGGCAAGACCGGUGCCAGCCGCCGCGGUAACACCGGCGGCCCAAGUGGUGGUCACUUUUAUUGGGCCUAAAGCGUCCGUAGCCGGCCGGAUAAGUCCCUUGGGAAAUCUGGUGGCUUAACCACCAGGCGUCCAAGGGAUACUGUCUGGCUUGGGACCGGGAGAGGCUCCGGGUAUCCUAGGGGUAGGGGUGAAAUCCUGUAAUCCCUAGGAGACCACCAGUGGCGAAAGCUCGGGGCUGGAACGGGUCCGACGGUGAGGGACGAAAGCCAGGGGCACAAACCGGAUUAGAUACCCGGGUAGUCCUGGCCGUCAACGAUGCCCGCUAGGUGUAGGUCGUAGCACGUCUGCGGCCUGUGCCCUAGUGAAGAUGUUAAGCGGGCCGCCUGGGAAGUACGUCCGCAAGGAUGAAACUUAAAGGAAUUGGCGGGGGAGCACCACAACGGGUGGAGCCUGCGGUUUAAUUGGAUCCAACGCCGGGAAUCUUACCGGGGGCGACAGCUGAAUGAAGGCCAGUCUGAAGGGCUUGCCGGACUAGCUGAGAGGAGGUGCAUGGCCGCCGUCAGCUCGUACUGUGAAGCGUCCUGUUAAGUCAGGCAACGAGCGAGACCCGCACUCCCAGUUGCCAGCAGAUCCAUUUUAUGGAUGCUGGGUACACUGGGAGGACAGCCCCCGCUAAGGGGGAGGAAGGUGCGGGCGACGGUAGGUCAGUAUGCCCCGAAUCCCUCGGGCUACACGCGGGCUACAAUGGCCGGGACAAAGGGUACCAACCCCGAGAGGGGAAGGUAAUCCCCGAAACCCGGUCUUAGUUCGGAUCGAGGGCUGAAACUUGCCCUCGUGAAGCUGGAAUCCGUAGUAAUCGCGCCUCAAAAAUGGCGCGGUGAAUAUGUCCCUGCUCCUUGCACACACCGCCCGUCAAACCACCCGAGUGAGGUUUGAGUGAAGCGAUGGCAUUAAGCCACCGUUGAACUCAAGCUUCGCAAGGGGGGUUAAGUCGUAACAAGGUAGCCGUAGGGGAACCUGCGGCUGGAUCACCUCCUAACGUAAUUUUUU
rnacentral:rRNA from 2 species